rnacentral:rRNA from 1 species
AGAGUUUGAUCAUGGCUCAGGAUGAACGCUGGCGGCGUGCUUAACACAUGCAAGUCGAACGAUGAUCCCAGCUUGCUGGGGGAUUAGUGGCGAACGGGUGAGUAACACGUGAGUAACCUGCCCUUAACUCUGGGAUAAGCCUGGGAAACUGGGUCUAAUACCGGAUAUGACUCCUCAUCGCAUGGUGGGGGGUGGAAAGCUUUAUUGUGGUUUUGGAUGGACUCGCGGCCUAUCAGCUUGUUGGUGAGGUAAUGGCUCACCAAGGCGACGACGGGUAGCCGGCCUGAGAGGGUGACCGGCCACACUGGGACUGAGACACGGCCCAGACUCCUACGGGAGGCAGCAGUGGGGAAUAUUGCACAAUGGGCGCAAGCCUGAUGCAGCGACGCCGCGUGAGGGAUGACGGCCUUCGGGUUGUAAACCUCUUUCAGUAGGGAAGAAGCGAAAGUGACGGUACCUCAGAAGA